rnacentral:rRNA from 1 species
UACGUAGGGGGCAAGCGUUGUCCGGAAUUAUUGGGCGUAAAGAGCGCGUAGGCGGUCCGAUAAGUCGGCUGUGAAAGUCAGGGGCUCAACCCUUGGAAGCCGGCCGAUACUGUCGGACUAGAGUCCGGAAGAGGCGAGUGGAAUUCCCGGUGUAGCGGUGAAAUGCGCAGAUAUCGGGAGGAACACCAAUGGCGAAGGCAGCUCGCUGGGACGGUACUGACGCUGAGACACGAAGGCCAGGGGAGCAAACGGG